rnacentral:rRNA from 1 species
GUGGGGAAUCUUGCGCAAUGGGCGAAAGCCUGACGCAGCCAUGCCGCGUGAAUGAUGAAGGUCUUAGGAUUGUAAAAUUCUUUCACCGGGGACGAUAAUGACGGUACCUGGAGAAGAAGCUCCGGCUAACUUCGUGCCAGCAGCCGCGGUAAUACGAAGGGGGCUAGCGUUGCUCGGAAUUACUGGGCGUAAAGGGCGCGUAGGCGGACAGCUUAGUCAGAGGUGAAAGCCCAGGGCUCAACCUUGGAAUUGCCUUUGAUACUGGCUGUCUUGAGUUUGGGAGAGGUGAGUGGAACUCCGAGUGUAGAGGUGAAAUUCGUAGAUAUUCGGAAGAACACCAGUGGCGAAGGCGACUCACUGGCCCAAUACUGACGCUGAGGCGCGAAAGCGUGGGGAGCAAACAGGAUUAGAAACCCGGGUAGUCC